AAGGUCUGAGGAAAAUAUCUGAGCAGUCUGUCUCACUGCAGACUGAUAAGAUCCAUGUCUGACCUCAACAUAGAA